CCGAAAUAAUAUUGGGCCAAGGCGCGCGCUAGCGAGGGUAGGCCCGCGAGAGGCGAGAUUUUUGGCACCAAAGGAAGUAUAGACUCGGCCCCAAUCUCCCAGACUCUUCUUCCAAAUCGCCCCCAAAUCGAGUCGAUUGUGCCCUCGCCGCCGCCCCCAACCGCGAUGUGCCCUCGCCGCCGCCCUGCAACCACCGCCACUCCGACCAUUGCCGGUGUCGCCCCCAGCACCCCACCGUAGCGCCGCCGACCACCAACUAACACGGAUCUAAUUCCCCGCCGGCCAGCCCCGUCGCCGAGCCCUUCGCCCCUGUCAAGUAUCCUCAGAUCUCGUUCGCCCUUCGCUGCAUUCCCAGCGCCGCCCAAAUGUGGUCUAUCCAUCCACGCAUUCUCCUCUCGCAGCACCAUCUACUUGGCAUCUCUCCCGAACUGCCGAGAUGAGGCAUGCGCCGGGCUAGGGUUUGGCGCCGCCGGCCCUCCUGGUCGUCCUACUCCGGUGCUUGCUCCUCCGCCGCUGGUCCACCUCGACGUCGUGCUCGCCCAUCAUCCUUUGUCCGUGCUCCCCCAGUUCGUGCUUCUACGGCCUCCCCCUCUUGUACUUCGAGCCUAAGAAUCACAGGUCAACAGAUGUUGGUGUUCAAAUUACGGGUAAUACCAUUUAAAAUUUUCAAUGAUUAAUGACACCACAUGAGCUCAUAUGCCAAAUGUUCUUCCUCUGGUUUGAAGAAAAUAGCAGAGCACUCGAAUGGAAGAAUAUAUCUGGAACCGUCAGCCUUACAAAGUGCUAUUUUCAGCUGCAUGUUUUACUAAUAGUUGCUAUGCGUGGUAUCUUGUCUGACCUGGAACAUAUGGUCAUUUUAGUAAUAGCAACGUCAAAGUAGAAAUUAGGUUGGGCAGGGAAUUCUUCUGUUUGUUUAUAGUUUCUAGCCAGUAAUAUAGUUCUUGUGUUGUUUUGGCCGUGUUUGGGUUCCUUUUGCUUUCUCUUCUGUUGGUUAUCCUUUUGCAUUUGCUUUGCCUCUAAUGCUUGCUUUGUCUGUUGCAGGAGACAGGAGACACUCGCAGUUUGGCUGUGUCCAUGCUGCUGCUUUUGCCUAAGAUGGAUUCAAUUAAUUGAGAUGGAGGUGGAUUAUAAUACUUUGGUGAUAAUAACACCAGCCUUACAUCCAUAUCAUUUACGAAUAACUCCAUAAGAUUUCCCAAAGGUACACAAGUUCACUAAGGUUUGGAGGACCUUCAAGUUGCUGAAGAUUUGGAAGACCUACAAUUAAGUUGUUGGAGUGAUAAUGUCAUUUGUCUUGUUUGUUGAACCUAGAGACUUGAUAUGCUCAUUUUGUUGGUUAUUAAGCUCAUUUUGGUUGUGUGGCACACAUCUAGAAACAUAUCUACAUCUCCUUUUGUGGCACUAUUUUAUUUUGGUUGUGUGGCAAACAUAUAUGUACUCCUUUUGUGGCACAACCUCCUUAUAUAUGGACGAAUGAAGUUUUAAGGUUUUCAAUGAAGCCUAUAUGUUACUUUGA